rnacentral:rRNA from 1 species
UACGUAGGGUGCGAGCGUUGUCCGGAAUUACUGGGCGUAAAGAGCUCGUAGGUGGUUUGUCGCGUUGUCCGUGAAAACUCACAACUCAAUUGUGGGCGUGCGGGCGAUACGGGCAGACUGGAGUACUGCAGGGGAGACUGGAAUUCCUGGUGUAGCGGUGGAAUGCGCAGAUAUCAGGAGGAACACCGGUGGCGAAGGCGGGUCUCCUGGGCAGUAACUGACGCUGGAGGAGCGAAA